rnacentral:rRNA from 1 species
GCCACGGCCUCGUCCGUCUCGCCCACCGCGGCCGCCUCCAAGCGCCCGCACCUCGCCGGCGACGACGCGCCCUGGCGCGUCGCGGCCGCCGGCUCCGCCGGAAUCCGUCCCGUCCCGCGCAUCCACCACGCCCCCGUCCUCCGCGUCGCCCAGGACGACUCCUCCGCGUACGCCCUCGCCAUCAUGAGGAAUCCGGAUCCGAUAGGGAUGGGGCUGGCCAUGGAGGCCGUAGCUGAGGCUGCUGGCCCGGAGUGCCUCGUGCCCGGCCAGCAGGCGCCUCUGCGGCUGAUGGGACUCAAGGUUUGGCCCCUAGAUAUAGAGAUGAAGUUCUUGGAACCAUUUGGCCGGGAAUUACACUCCAUGAAGAAGGUAUGA